rnacentral:rRNA from 1 species
ACGAAGGUGGCAAGCGUUACUCGGAAUUACUAGGCGUAAAGGGCAGGUAGGUGGUUUGAUAAGUCUGUUGUGUAAGCUCCUGGCUUAACUGGGAGAGGUCAACGGAAACUAUCAGGCUUGAGCAUAGGAGAGGGUACUGGAAUUCCCGGUGUAGCGGUGAAAUGCGCAGAGAUCGGGAGGAACACCAAUGGCGAAAGCAGGUACCUGGACUAUUGCUGACACUCAGCUGCGAAAGCUAGGGGAGCAAACAG